GAUGAACGCUAGCUACAGGCUUAACACAUGCAAGUCGAGGGGAAACGCCAUUGAAGCUUGCUUCGAUGGUCGUCGACCGGCGCACGGGUGAGUAACGCGUAUCCAACCUGCCUCUGACCAAGGGAUAACCCGUCGAAAGUCGGCCUAAUACCUUAUGCAGUCGUCGGAAGUCAUCUGAUGACGACGAAAGAUUUCAUCGGUGAGAGAUGGGGAUGCGUCUGAUUAGCUUGUUGGCGGGGUAACGGCCCACCAAGGCAACGAUCAGUAGGGGUUCUGAGAGGAAGGUCCCCCACAUUGGAACUGAGACACGGUCCAAACGCCUACGGGAGGCAGCAGUGAGGAAUAUUGGUCAAUGGGCGAGAGCCUGAACCAGCCAAGUAGCGUGCAGGAUGACGGCCCUAUGGGUUGUAAACUGCUUUUAUGCGGGGAUAAAGUGAGGGACGUGUCCUUCAUUGCAGGUACCGCAUGAAUAAGGACCGGCUAAGUCCGUG
rnacentral:rRNA from 1 species